rnacentral:rRNA from 1 species
GACGAACGCUGGCGGCGUGCCUAAUACAUGCAAGUAGAACGCUGAAGCGAGGAGCUUGCUCUUCUUGGAUGAGUUGCGAACGGGUGAGUAACGCGUAGGUAACCUGCCUUGUAGCGGGGGAUAACUAUUGGAAACGAUAGCUAAUACCGCAUAACAAUGGAUGACACAUGUCAUUUAUUUGAAAGGGGCAAUUGCUCCACUACAAGAUGGACCUGCGUUGUAUUAGCUAGUAGGUGAGGUAACGGCUCACCUAGGCGACGAUACAUAGCCGACCUGAGAGGGGGAUCGGCCACACUGGGACUGAGACACGGCCCAGACUCCUACGGGAGGCAGCAGGAGGGAAUCUUCGGCAAUGGGGGCAACCCUGACCGAGCAACGCCGCGUGAGUGAAGAAGGUUUUCGGAUCGUAAAGCUCUGUUGUAAGUCAAGAACGAGUGUGAGAGUGGAAAGUUCACACUGUGACGGUAGCUUACCAGAAAGGGACGGCUAACUACGUG